rnacentral:tRNA from 1 species
GCUGGCGUAGCUCAGUUGGUAGAGCAUCUGAUUUGUAAUCAGAUGGUCGGGGGUUCAAGUCCCUCCGCCAGCU